AACGCACCUUGCGCCCCUUGGCAUUCCGAGGGGCACGCCUGUUUGAGUGUCGUGAACUCCUCCACCCUCUACCUUUCUUUCGAAAGGUACUGGGCUGGGAUUUGGGAGCUGCGGGUCCCUGGCCGAUCCGCUCUCCUUGAAUACAUUAGCGAAGCCCUUUGCGGCCUUGGUGUGAUAGUCAUCUACGCCUCGGCUUAGCGAAUCAAUGGGGAAUCGCUUCCAACCGUCUCGCAAGGGACAACGACUUUUAACUUGACCUCAAAUCAGGCGGGACUACCCGCUGAACUUAA
rnacentral:misc_RNA from 1 species